CGGCCGCCUGCUUCCUGUAUUUGGUUUGGACGGCGUCCGACCUGGAGCCCCUGAGCACCGCCCCUUAACCCGGCGUCCCUGGACACCCCUCCGUGUGAGCUCGGCCUCAUGGCCGGAGCCCGGCUCUUUCGGUUCCGGGACGAGCCAGGCCCCGGAGCCGACCCGACCGUGCUGGAGGUCCGCGUCCCGCAGGUCCUGCAUGUCCAGUAUGGGAUGUAUGUUUGGCCCUGUGCUGUAGUCCUGGCCCAAUACCUGUGGUUUCACAGAAGAGUUCUGCCAGGCAAAGCUGUCUUAGAGACUUUGAAAGCAUUUUAGCCACAGUAUACUUUCUGAUGCAGAAGAAUCCCAAAGUUCAAUUCUGGUCUACAUACCAGGUCAGAAGUGCUGACUGGUCACUGGAAGGCUUGCUCUACAAGUGGGAUAUGAGGUGUGUGCACAUUCCUCUGGAGUCUUUUGAUGCAGACAAGGAAGAUAUAGCAGAGUCUACCCUUCCAGGAAGACAUACUAUUGAAAUGCUGAUCAUCUCCUUUGCAAAGGAUAGUUCCUGAAUGAAUUAUACCUCAAGCUAU
rnacentral:lncRNA from 1 species